UACGGAGGGUGCAAGCGUUAAUCGGAAUUACUGGGCGUAAAGCGUGCGUAGGUGGUUCGUUAAGUCCGUUGUGAAAGCCCCGAGCUCAACUUGGGAAUUGCAAUGGAUACUGGCAAGCUGGAGUAUGGUAGAGGAAGGUGGAAUUCCCGGUGUAGCAGUGAAAUGCGUAGAGAUCGGGAGGAACACCAGUGGCGAAGGCGGCCUUCUGGACCAAUACUGACGCUCAUGCACGAAAGCGUGGGGAGCAAACAGG
rnacentral:rRNA from 1 species